CCUACGGGAGGCAGCAGUGGGGAAUAUUGGACAAUGGGGGGAACCCUGAUCCAGCCAUGCCGCGUGUGUGAAGAAGGCCCUCGGGUUGUAAAGCACUUUCAGUGAGGAAGAACGCCUGGUGGUUAAUACCCAUCAGGAAAGACAUCACUCACAGAAGAAGCACCGGCUAACUCCGUGCCAGCAGCCGCGGUAAUACGGAGGGUGCGAGCGUUAAUCGGAAUUACUGGGCGUAAAGCGCGCGUAGGUGGCUUGAUAAGCCGGUUGUGGAAGCCCCGGGCUCAACCUGGGAACGGCAUCCGGAACUGUCAAGCUAGAGUGCAGGAGAGGAAGGUAGAAUUCCCGGUGUAGCGGUGAAAUGCGUAGAGAUCGGGAGGAAUACCAGUGGCGAAGGCGGCCUUCUGGACUGACACUGACACUGAGGUGCGAAAGCGUGGGUAGCAAACAGGAUUAGAUACCCCGGUAGUC
rnacentral:rRNA from 1 species